UACGUAGGGUGCAAGCGUUGUCCGGAAUUAUUGGGCGUAAAGAGCUCGUAGGCGGUUUGUCGCGUCGAAUGUGAAAACCCGGGGCUCAACCCCGGGCCUGCAUUCGAUACGGGCAGACUAGAGUUCGGUAGGGGAGUCUGGAAUUCCUGGUGUAGCGGUGAAAUGCGCAGAUAUCGGGAAGAACACCCGUGGCGAAGGCGGUUCUCUGGGACGGUACUGACGCUGAGACGCGAAAGCGUGGGGAGCGAACAGG
rnacentral:rRNA from 1 species